AAUAAAUUGGGGAGGGAAACCGUAAGGCCAAACCCUAACCCUACAAAAGGGAAAAGCUUCAGAGAGAGUGGGAGAGUCUUCGGAUUCAGACCAGCAUGUCUUCUCUUUGCAAAUGAAAUGAGUAGAUAGAAUCAAAGUUAUCUGAAAGAAGAUGAAAAGACACAUAGAUACGGAAGGCGUUAGAAGAAAAUCUAGGAAUAAAUUGAAGUUGUUUGGGUUGUUGCUAAACAUUCAGAAGACCAAAAGGAAGAAAUGGUGCAUUUGCCAAUCUUGAUGUUUGGUUUGUGCGGACUCGGAAAAGUUGAAUCUAGUUAGGAAUCAUCUUCAAAAUCAGCAAUUUCUCAUUUUACAGCAUUGGGCUUCGCUGAAAGUCUGAAACUUAAGUUUACAUGUUUGAUUCAUACUUUGUAAGGUUGCUUUAAUGUCUUCAUUUUUCUUAUUUGCAGGUUACUGGUUUGCAGUAAUUUGAGGAUAUGGGAUUCCCCAUCAAUGAAGUUUCAGCAGCCAUUGAUUCAUGUGUUGAAUUCCUUCUUUUAGUCAUAUUAUCUUCUGCUGUCAAGUUAACGCCCUCUCCUCAACUCAAUUGGAUCUCAUGGCAAAAACACUCCCCAAGUUUGUCAUAAUCCAAUCAAACCUAAACAUUAAAUACCUGCACUUGCUACGCAGAAAUGUCAGAGGUACCUAAUGCCCUCCGGUAUACUGGCGAUUACAGUUUCAACUUAGAGACGAGGUUUAAGGGGGUGCUACCACUGAAACUGGACUCGCCCAUAUCCGGUGUUUGCAGAACAACAUGUACUGGGCAAAUUUUGAGUUAUGAAACAGAUUAAAAUGCUUUGAGCUGUCCAAAAGCGUAACAGAGUAUGAUUAAUGUAAGACAUCUUAUACACCUAGUUGGUAAGAGACAAGAAUAUUUUGUGACACUACUAGCCCCAAGUAUUCGUUUUGGAUCCUUAGGAACACUAACUUCGUGGAUAUUUCGUCAAUUGAUAUCAACAAAUUACUCGAAGCCGUAAACUGGAAAGGGACGGUUGAAAUGUGAGGUAACAACAACUAAGAGGCCUUUAUAUAUUAAGGGUUAUUGUCGUUCAAUGUGGGCAAGCCAAGUGGUGCUGGAACCGCUCCAAACAUCAUUGAUGAUAUAAGUCACUAUUCAUCGGGUAUGAUUCUCCCUUCAGUGAAGAGGAGAAGAAGUAGGAUAAGACUCUGAAGUUCAGUUGCAACCUUAACAAUACAGUCUGCAAGCUAACAACUUCAAAGCUACAAGGAGGUCGAAAAGCUUUGCGCAAAGGUCUCAACUUUAACAUUUCUCCCCGAAGCUUCAUAUACUUCCGUGUUCUUUUGAUAAGACUCUGAAGUUCAGUUGCAACCUUAACAAUGCAGCCUGCAAGCUAAAAACUCUGAAGCUACAAGGAGGUUGAAAAGCUUGGCACAAAGGUGGUGGAGACCGAAACUACCAUUUGUAACCGUUGAAGCAUCAAAUGAUGAUGUGCUACAAAGUGUUGUUCUUCCUGAAACAUGGUUUUUGUUGGGACAGAAUCUACCUUGAAGCAGCAAAAGAUGAUGGGGUAAAAUGUAAUCCUGCCAAAGAUAUGGUUUCUGCUGGGAAGGAAUCUCCCUUAGUCGAUAAGAAGAUGGAGUCUUUGGAAGUGGCUGUUUCAGAAAUUAAAAAGUUUGUUAUACCAAAGGCUGCGCUACUCCGAAAGCAGAUAUAUGUAUACAUUUUUGAGCGGCCAUUUUAUCAUCUUCUUCAAAGUAAAGCUUCAAUAGGGUCCAGGGUAAAGCAUUUUCGGCCAUUUAUAAAAGUACCGAAUACUACUGAUUUAAUCGACGGAGCUCGUAAUGGAACCGCGAGUCAUGGAGAAAGCACAGGCUGAAGUUACCCAUUCCUGCCUUUGCUUUGUAGCUGGAAUGAUUUCUAUCUUAGCUCGGAUUUUCUUUUUCUUUUCCUAGUUCUAGUUUGUUCUUUGGUUUAGGAUUUCCUUUUCCCAGAGUUUUUCCUUUUUCUUUUGAAGCAUCCCGUAAUGAGAUGUUUUCAUCAUUACUUGAUUUUAGACGAUUCAAAAUGGACGGUUGUGAUGAUAUUGCUUAUGUACCAAGGUUGUAUUUGUCUCGACGGUGUGCCCGUCAUAGUGCGCCAACAUAAUUGGCGUGAAUGUGGUAAACAGAAACAGAAAACAGAUUUGAUGCGCAUUUUGCAAUGAUGAUAUACCCGAGAAAGCAUUCAAUUC